rnacentral:rRNA from 1 species
CACGGGGGGAGCAAGCGUUGUUCGGAAUCACUGGGCGUAAAGCGCGUGUAGGCGGCCAAGUAAGUGGGAUGUGAAAUCCCCCGGCUUACCCGGGGACCUGCAUCUCAUACUGCUUGGCUUGAGUAUGGGAGAGGAUGAGGGAAUUCCUGGUGUAGCGGUGAAAUGCGCAGAUAUCAGGAGGAACACCGGUGGCGAAGGCGGGUCUCUGGGCAACAACUGACGCUGAGGAGCGAAAGCGUGGGGAGCGAACAGG